rnacentral:rRNA from 1 species
CGGGAGGCAGCAGUAGGGAAUCUUCCACAAUGGACGAAAGUCUGAUGGAGCAACGCCGCGUGAGUGAUGAAGGUUUUCGGAUCGUAAAACUCUGUUGUUAAAGAAGAACAAGUGUUAGAGUAACUGUUAACACUUUGACGGUAUUUAACCAGAAAGCCACGGCUAACUACGUGCCAGCAGCCGCGGUAAUACGUAGGUGGCAAGCGUUGUCCGGAUUUAUUGGGCGUAAAGCGAGCGCAGGCGGUUUUGUAAGUCUGCUGUGAAAGCCCUCAGCUCAACUGAGGAAGUGCAGUGGAAACUACAAAACUUGAGUACAGAAGAGGAAAGUGGAACUCCCAUGUGUAGCCGGUGAAAUGCGUAGAUAUAUGGAAGAACANCCANUGGCCGAAGGCGGCUUUUNUGGUCUGUUACUGAACGCUGAGGCUCGAAAGCAUGGGUAGCGAACAGGAUUAGAUACCCUGGUAGUCCAUGCCGUAAACGAUGAAUACUAGGUGUUGGAGGGUUUCCGCCCUUUCAGUGCCGCAGCUAACGCAUUAAAGUAUUCCGCCUGGGGAGUACGACCGCAAGGUUGAAACUCAAAGGAAUUGACGGGGGCCCGCACAAGUGGUGGAGCAUGUGGUUUAAUUCGAUGCUACGCGAAGAACCUUACCAGCUCUUGACAUCUUCUGCCAACCCAAGAGAUUGGGCGUUCCCUUCGGGGACAGAAUGACAGGUGGUGCAUGGUUGUCGUCAGCUCGUGUCGUGAGAUGUUGGGUUAAGUCCCGCAACGAGCGCAACCCUUAUUAUUAGUUGCCAGCAUUUAGUUGGGCACUCUAGUGAGACUGCCGGUGAUAAACCGGAGGAAGGUGGGGACGACGUCAAAUCAUCAUGCCCCUUAUGAGCUGGGCUACACACGUGCUACAAUGGAUGGUACAACGAGUCGCGAAACCGCGAGGUCAAGCUAAUCUCUUAAAGCCAUUCUCAGUUCGGAUUGCAGGCUGCAACUCGCCUGCAUGAAGUUGGAAUCACUAGUAAUCGUGGAUCAGCAUGCCACGGUGAAUACGUUCCCGGGCCUUGUAC